CAGUGGCGGCUGCCUAAUACUGCAAGUCGAGCGAGCUUGCCUAGAUGAUUUUAGUGCUUGCACUAAAUGAAACUAGAUACAAGCGAGCGGCGGACGGGUGAGUAACACGUGGGUAACCUGCCCAAGAGACUGGGAUAACACCUGGAAACAGAUGCUAAUACCGGAUAACAACACUAGACGCAUGUCUAGAGUUUGAAAGAUGGUUCUGCUAUCACUCUUGGAUGGACCUGCGGUGCAUUAGCUAGUUGGUAAGGUAACGGCUUACCAAGGCAAUGAUGCAUAGCCGAGUUGAGAGACUGAUCGGCCACAUUGGGACUGAGACACGGCCCAAACUCCUACGGGAGGCAGCAGUAGGGAAUCUUCCACAAUGGACGAAAGUCUGAUGGAGCAACGCCGCGUGAGUGAAGAAGGGUUUCGGCUCGUAAGCUCUGUUGGUAGUGAAGAAAGAUAGAGGUAGUAACUGGCCUUUAUUUGACGGUAAUUACUUAGAAAGUCACGGCUAACUACGUGCCAGCAGCCGCGGUAAUACGUAGGUGGCAAGCGUUGUCCGGAUUUAUUGGGCGUAAAGCGAGUGCAGGCGGUUCAAUAAGUCUGAUGUGAAAGCCUUCGGCUCAACCGGAGAAUUGCAUCAGAAACUGUUGAACUUGAGUGCAGAAGAGGAGAGUGGAACUCCAUGUGUAGCGGUGGAAUGCGUAGAUAUAUGGAAGAACACCAGUGGCGAAGGCGGCUCUCUGGUCUGCAACUGACGCU
rnacentral:rRNA from 1 species